rnacentral:lncRNA from 1 species
CUUCAAAUCAGCUUUGUCCUCAAGGUCAGAAUUGGGCAAUAAAGUUCGAAAAUUGUCCCUUGAUGUACCCUAAGUCCUCACAAGUUGCUUCAUGUGGUCCUAAGUUUGAUCACUGCACCAAAACCUUGACCCCAACCGCGUUGUUCACCUUCAUCAUCUGUCGCUACAAAAUGGUUAUGGGUUGCACUAACACUUGCCCAUCGUCACUGCAUAUUUAAGCUACUGCUAAGCAACGAUAUCUGGUGUGACCCUCUUCUUCAACUGGGAUACAUGGGAAAUUGGAUGGAUCUGAGAACCUUAUGGUAACUCCAAACGGCAUGCCACCGCUCCUAUUCUUUGUACUACUUUAUAUGGCCCGUAAAACAUUGUACUGAGCUUUGAAUUCUUGCAAAUAGCUAUUAAUUUAUGUCCAUAGUACAAUUUUAGGUAGACAUAACCUCCUUCCUGUAUGACUCUUUUAGUCCUAUUUUUGUCAACAAAGAAUUUCAUUCGAGCCUGGGCAACCCGUAAAUUCUCCUUGAGUUUUUGCCUCAUAUGCUUCCUUUGAGCCAAAAUUGCUCCCAUUUAUGUGUUAAUUGAGUGAGUCAGGGAGCCUAAAGACACCUGUGGUGGGGAAUAUCCAUAUAUAGCCUCAAAAGGAGUUGUCAUGAGAGCUGAGGUAAUUAGUGUUGUACCACCACUCUGUGAAGUGUAACCACCUGAGCCACUGCUUGGGGUUAGUGAAAACCAUAGCUCUUAGGCAGGAUUCUAAAUAUUUAUUCAGCAUUUUAGUUUGUCCAUCUGUUUGAGGAUGAUAUGUAGUAGACAUGCUCAACUUAGUCCCCAAUGUCUUGAACAACUGCUGCCAGAACUGGCUAGUUAAUAUAAGGUCCCUGUCUGUGAUAGAUUUAGGAAGGCCAUGUAGUUUGUAUAUUUCUUGAAAGAAUGAGCCUGCUACAUACUUAGCGGAGUAUGGUUGCUUGUGAGGAAUGGAGUGCCCAUAUUUAGUCAGUUUAUCUGCUACCACUAGAAUAGAACACUUGUGACCUGAGGCUGGUAGACCUUCUAUAAAGUCCAUAACAAUAUGUUGCCAUUAAGUCUCUGGGAUGGGAAGUGAUUGCAACAAUCCUAGAGUAUAUAUAUUCUCAUUUUUAACCCUCUAACACACAUCACAUUCAGAUACCCAUUUAAAGAUGGUUCCCUUGAUAUUAGGCCAAUAGAACACCAUACUGUCUUGCUGACCUGAGUGAUCACCUAAGGGUGAUUGGUGGAACGCCUAAAAAGUUUUGGAUCUCAAAUCAGCGCCUCUUCCCAUAAAUAUCUUCUAGUUGUGUCUAAUAAUACCCUGAUGCAAGGUAUAUGUAGGAUUACCUACAGGAUCUGUAAUUAAUUGAGUCAAGAGUUACAAGGUUGUAGUGUCAUUUUCAUAGCUCAAGGCUAUCUCCAGCAUCCAGGUAGGCUCUGCAGCAGUGAUGACAUUUAGUAUAGGUUCUUCUUCCUGCCUUCUUGAAAGUGCAUCAGCCACUCUAUUUUCUACUCCCCUCUUGUACUGCACCUCAUUGUCCAGUAGUAGGAGCUUGGUGAGACCUUUCUGUUGUAAUGUUGUAGUGACCCUCUGUCCUAACAAGUACUUUAGGAUAUGAUGAUCUGUUCCAGUUAUGAAAUGACCUCUUUGUAGAUAGUGCCUCUAUUUGUUUACAGGUGAGAGUACAACCACAUAUUCUUUCUCGUAAGUGGAAAGUCUCAAGUGUUUAGGAUGCUUUACUGAAAAAUGUAACAGCCCUUCCUUCUCGCAUCAUAACUGCGCCUAUACCUUUAGAACAUGCAUCAUUUUCUACUAUGAAGACCUUAGAGAAAUCAGUCAAAGCUAACACAUGAGCAGUAGACAUAAGUAAUUGAAAGGUUGUGUCAGCUUCUUUUUCCCAAUGAAAGGCAUUCUUCCUUGACAAAUCGGUUAGUGGCUUGCUUAUGACCCUAUAUGACUUCAAAAAUCUCCUAUAGCAAUCAGAUAGGCCCAGAAAUCCCCUUAUGGCCUUGAUUGACUUAGGAGUUGGCCAAUUAACCAUGGCCCCAAAAUUUAGAAGGAUCAGUAUACGCCCUUCUCCCUGUGAUGAUGUGCCCCAAGUAUUCCACUUUGUGCUUUCCAAAGAAACACUUAGAAAGCUUGGCAAAAAGCUGGUCUUUUCUCAAUACCUCCAGUAUCAACCUCAUAUGUUUUCACAUGUUCAUUCAGUGUUGCACUAUAUGCUAGGAUGUCAUCAAAAAAAUACCAACAUAAAUUUUCUUAGAUAGGCCUUAAACACAUAGUUCAUCAAUGACUAAAAGGUAGCAGGUGCAUUAGUAAGGCUAAAGAGAAUGAACUUGAACUCAUAAUGACCUAAAUAUGUUCAUAGGACAGUUUUAUAUAUGUCUCCCUAACCCAUCCUUAUUUGAUGUUAACCUUUCCUCAUAUCAAUUUUAGAAUAGUUGCAUGAACCACCUAACUCAUCCAUUAAGUCAUCUACCAGGGGAAUGGGAAAGUUAUCCUUAACAUUUUUAUUAUUCAAGGCUCUAUAGUUAAUGCAAAACCACCAACUUCCAUCUUUUUUCUUAACUAACAAUACUGGGAAGAAAACGGUGAAUGACUACAUUGUAUGUUCCUAUUGGUAAUCUUUUCAUUCACCUGUUUUUGUGUUUUAUUUUUUGGAAGUAGUUAUACCUGUAGGGCCUGAUACUGACUGGUAUUGCAUCUACUUUUAGGGGUAUAUGAUGAUCAUUGUUUCUUUUGGGAGGUAAUAUUAUUGGUACAACAAUUGAAUUGGUUCAGCACUCCACUAAUGGAUAAAGGCAUAUUCUCUUCUCCUUGCAAUUCUGUAGUAGAGAUUGAGAAUAAAUGGGCCCAUAUAGCUUGGCCCUUCUUGAAUAGAUGUUUGACCCCAUUACCUAACAUUCUUUUUAGUUCACCUUUACAAUAAAUUCCCUUGAGCUCCACUCUUUUCCCCUUGUGAUUUACAUGUAUCUUGUACUUCACAAAAUCCAACAAUACUAGAUUGUGUGCAUUAAUCUAAUCCUCAUCUAAAAUCAUGUCAUUGCCCCUAGUCUAAUCAGUCUUACAAAAUUUUCAAAUUCCACCACUGGAAAUGUCCAUUUAAAUCUAGACAUGUGUGUAAGCACAUAAUGUGAUUACCAUUUGCCACCAUGACUCUCGUAGGAGUAGAUUCACUAAUAACAUAUCACAUCUUCUAGCAGUAUCCAAGUCUAGGAAGUUGUGAGUGCUUCCUGAAUCUAAUAAGAUGGUAACUUAUUUUUUUUGGACUCCCCUUUUAAACUAAUAGUACUAUGUACCUCAGUCCAGAUAGAGCAUUGAGGUCGAUGGCCUCCUCCACAUCCUCAUUCUCCAUGUGAUGACCCGGUCAAUUGUCUGAUGAGUUACCUCUCUACUUCUCCCAUUUUUGCUUCUUUAUGCUUCAUUAUCCAUAUUUUAUGUGGUCAAGUUGAUUAGUUUGCAUUCGGCAUGGAUUAGGUAAGAAAUGAGAUACUUGGUCUUUUUUAAGAAGGUUGAAGUUGGAAAAGUUAACUGGAUGUUAACUUAUGUGUUAGCUGGCUCAGAUGUGAGUUCUGAUGGUUCAGUUAGCUUUGGGAGGUGAUUUAUGCCUUAGGAGUGCGAUCGGAAUUGGUUUUGGAGGUCCAGAGUAGAAUUAGGCUUGAAUUGACAAUGUUAGUAUUUUGGCGAUUUCUGGUUCAUAGGAAAGAUUUUGAUCCGGGGGUCAGAAUGGGAUUCCGAGAGUUUCAGUAGCUUUAUUAUGUCAUUUGAGAUACUUUUGCAAAAUUUCAAAUCAUUAGGGCGUGGUUUGGUUGGUUUUUUAAUCAAAAGCGAGUUUCAAAAGAUUUUAAAAACUUAGGCUUGAAUUCGAUGAGUUUGAGGUAAUUUAUUGUUGUUUGAGGUGUUUUGAUGAUUAGAACCAGUUUGAAUAAGGUAUUGGGUCAUGUUUGUGCUUUUGUUUGAGGUCUUGGGGGCCUCGGAGUGAUUUCGAAUGGUUAACGGGAAGAUUUUGGACUUAAGAUUAGGUUUUAGAAAAUUUGCUGCUUCUGGUGUUUUCGCAUCUGCGAUGUGGGGACCGCAGGUGCAGCGUCGCAUAAGCGAAUGAUUGGCCGUAGAUGGGGAUUUAAGGAUGGAAUUCAGGAACUGCAGAUGCGGAAGAGGGACUGCACCUGCGGAGCCGCAUAUGCAGUGUUGUUUCGUCAAGUGAAAUUUCGCAUAUGCGGAGAAAUGACCGUAUAAGUGGUACUGCAGAGCGGGUGUUGGACCGAAAAUGCGGUUAUGUCUGGGCAGAAUGUAUAUAUGUUCUUUCUUCGUGAUUUUUGAAGGGUUUAACCAUUCUUAACUUCGGAUUGAUGGCUUUUGGACGAUUUUGAAGGGAGAUUUCAAGAGAACUUCGAUAAGGUAAGGAUUUUGGACCUAAACACACUCUAAAGAUAAUAUUUCAUGGAUUGGGACUGAAAUUUAAGGAAUUAAGGGACAAAAAAUGGAGGUUUAGGGCUUAAAUUGAGGAUUUGAUAGGUCAAUUGAACUCUGAUUCUGGUGUUUCUGACUGUUUGAACUCGUGGGGAGAUGAGAAAUCUAAAGGUGUAUAAAAUUUUGAGUUUCGAGAAGUGGGACCGGGGCUCGAGUUUUUCUAAUUUUGGGUUUUUUUUAUAUUUUUCGAUUGUUUUCGCUUGGGCUUUGUUCACUCAACAUAUUGUGAUGUAUUUGUUCUGAGUUUGGAUAGAUUCGACGCGCAUGGAGGUCGAUUCGAGGGGCAAUGGCGUCGCGAGCUAAAGUUGUAGCCGGUUCGAGAUAGCUAAUGAUUGUAAAUGAUGUCACGAGGGUUUGAAACCCCGAAUUGCACAUCGUAGAGCUAUAUUAAGGUGAGACACACGCUUGAUGAUGGGCGUGAGGUUGUUUACUUCUUGGGAUUGUGACUUGGUCCAUCCUGAUUGAUGAUUUUACCGUGUAUUUGAUUGAAACUUAUUUGUCAUCAUCAUGAUUUGGAUUGAUUUCCAUAUUUGGGCUUCGUGCGAAUUAUUUGAACCCUUCGGGGAUUUUUAUCACCAUUUCCUCACUGUUUUGACUUAUUACUUGAACUCAAUCUGCUAUCUACUGUUUUACAAACUCAUCUACGUUUACUUAGAUUUGAGACUUAAAUGAUAUUUCUAAAUGAUGUUUCGGGCUGAGAAAUACUAUUUUACUGAUGCCCGAGGGCCAUAUGUGAAGAUACACUGAGUGAUAUGAGGUUGAAGGCCUUAGAUACAUUUAUAUGCCACGAGGUGGCUUGAUUGAUGUGAGGUCGAGUACCGAGAGUUGAUGUCACGAGGUGUCUUGAUAUAGCGCUUGCGCCAUAAGGGGCCCCUAUGGAGCCUGCACGCUCACAGUGAGUGCGGGUACCCAUUACAAUCUAAGAGUGAACCCGAGGGGCUGAUAUUAUUCUGAGAGUGAGUCCGAGGGGCUGAUACUGUUCUGAGUGUUGAUGUUGUGUCCGAGGGGAGGAUUUCUACUUGUUAUUUACCUGCCAACUUACCUGUUUUACUUGUUAAAAAGGGAUUUUACUUUAUUUCUUCAUUGAUUUACUGCUUUAAGUGAUUUCUCUUCUUUGGUAUAGAAUGUUUUGUGCUUCUACGUAUUUUCUUGCUUUCAGCCAUUAUUUAUAAUUAUUACUCACUGGGUCGGAGUACUCACAUUACUCCCCGCACCAUGUGUGCAGAUUCAUGCAUAACAGAUUCAACUCCUGAGUGUUGAUCCUCGUAGUCCAGGCGGUGUUUUGGAGAUUAUGAGGUAGUUGUUGGCGUCCGUAGCCCCCUGUGCCUCCCUUAUAUUAUUAUUUCCAUAUUGUUGAACUAUUGUGUCGGAUUUCGUAUCUAGUAGACUUGGUAUCGGGGUUCAUUAGUUGCUCAUGACUUGUGACAACCCGGUUUGGGAUGUGUUGGAAUGGUUCUACUAUUAUUUUCUACUUCCGCGAAUUAUUGUUAUAGAAUCAUGCUUUAAAACUGCUUUAUGGUAAUUAAUUUCUUAAAAGAGGUGUUCUGUAUUGGUCUGGUUGGCCUUGUCUUCACGAGAGGUGCCAUCACGACCGGGUUCGGGGAUUGGGUCGUGACAAGUUGGUAUCAAAACCUAGAUUACAUAGUUCUCAUGAGUCAUGAGCAGAUUUAUUAUAGUCUCACGGAUUGGUACAGAGACUUCUGUAUUUAUCCUUAAGAGGCUUCGGAACCUUUUAGGAAAAAAAACUUCAAGUUCCUGAAAUUCUUGUCGUGCAACCUUGUUGAUCCGAGAACUAAACUUUUGUUAUUCUAUUCUCUCACAGAUGGUGAGGACGCGAGCUACAGGACGAGGUGGACGACCACCAGCUCCACCCACUAAGGCCACCAGAGGUUGUGGUCGUGGUCGUAGGAGAGGCAGAGCGGCG